CCUACGGGAGGCAGCAGUGAGGAAUAUUGGUCAAUGGGCGCGAGCCUGAACCAGCCAAGUCGCGUGAGGGAGGACGGCCCUACGGGUUGUAAACCUCUUUUGCCGGGGAGCAACGGGCGUCACGUGUGGCGCCCCUGAGAGUACCCGGAGAAAAAGCAUCGGCUAACUCCGUGCCAGCAGCCGCGGUAAUACGGAGGAUGCGAGCGUUAUCCGGAUUUAUUGGGUUUAAAGGGUGCGUAGGCGGAUCGUUAAGUCAGUGGUCAAAUUGAGGGGCUCAACCCCUUCCCGCCAUUGAAACUGGCGCUCUUGAGUGGAAGAGAAGUAGGCGGAAUGCGUGGUGUAGCGGUGAAAUGCAUAGAUAUCACGCAGAACCCCGAUUGCGAAGGCAGCAUGCCGGCUUCCGACUGACGCUGAAGCACGAAAGCGUGGGGAGCAAACAGGAUUAGAUACCCCUGUAGUC
rnacentral:rRNA from 1 species